rnacentral:rRNA from 1 species
CCGGCACGGGUGAGUAACACGUAUCCAACCUGCCGUCUACUCUUGACCAGCCUUCUGAAAGGAAGAUUAAUCCAGGAUGGCAUCAUGAGUUCACAUGUCCGCAUGAUUAAAGGUAUUUUCCGGUAGACGAUGGGGAUGCGUUCCAUUAGAUAGUAGGCGGGGUAACGGCCCACCUAGUCAACGAUGGAUAGGGGUUCUGAGAGGAAGGUCCCCCACAUUGGAACUGAGACACGGUCCAA